rnacentral:rRNA from 1 species
UACGGGGGGGGGCAAGCGUUGUUCGGAAUUACUGGGCGUAAAGGGCUCGUAGGCGGCCAACUAAGUCGGAUGUGAAAUCCCCAGGCUUAACCUGGGAACUGCAUCCGAUACUGGAUGGCUUGAAUCCGGGAGAGGGAUGCAGAAUUCCAGGUGUAGCGGUGAAAUGCGUAGAUAUCUGGAGGAAUACCGGUGGCGAAGGCGGCAUCCUGGACCGGCAUUGACGCUGAGGCGCGACAGCGUGGGGAGCAAACAGG